CCAGAGUAUCAAUUGGAGGGCAAGUCUGGUGCCAGCAGCCGCGGUAAUUCCAGCUCCAAUAGCGUAUAUUAAAGUUGUUGCAGUUAAGAAGCUCGUAGUUGAAUUUCUGCCUUGUCAUUAAUCUCGCUUCCGAGCGUUUUUUUAUUGACUUGGCAUCUUCUGGAUUUGGUGCCUUCGGGUACUAUUUUCCAGGAUUUACUUUGAGAAAACUAGAGUGUUUCAAACAGGCAUUCGCCUUGAAUACUACAGCAUGGAAUAAUGAAGUAGGACUUUGGUUCUAUUUUGUUGGUUAUUGAGCCAGAGUAAUGGUUAAUAGGAGCAGUUGGGGGCAUUCGUAUUUAACUGUCAGAGGUGAAAUUCUUAGAUUUGUUAAAGACGAACUACUGCGAAAGCAUUUGCCAAGGAUGUUUUCAUUAAUCAAGAACGAAAGUUAGGGGAUCGAAGACGAUCAGAUACCGUCGUAGUCCUA
rnacentral:rRNA from 1 species